AGGUGGUCUGUUAAGUCUGAGGUGAAAGCCCCGGGCUCAACCUGAGAAUGGCAUUGGAUACUGGCAGUAUAGAGUGCGGUAGAGGGUAGUGGAAUUCCCGGUGUAGCAGUGAAAUGCGUAGAUAUCGGGAGGAACAUCCGUGGCGAAGGCGACUACCUGGACCAGCACUGACACUGAGGCACGAAAGCGUGGGGAGCAAA
rnacentral:rRNA from 1 species